CAGCGGUGGGUGGUUGUGUGUUGUGCAAGCUCUCACUUGGAUCUUCCGUGUACUGAUAGCUGGUAUACAUGAGCUCAAGUGAUGUUCAGUUCUCAGUUAGUUCCAACUGCUAUAAAUAAUGUAUUACAUGAGCUGUGAAUACGUUUUACCAAAUCACUCCGCUUGAUUGUGUGCAAGAAUUCAUGAGCAUGCAACUGAUGCAAGUGCAACUAGACGGCGAUUUGGCGUGGAUCGUGCUAUCUUAGGUGCUAUAGAUUAGGAUCCUAUAUUGUUGCCUCCUUAACAUCAAGUCUGUUAAUGCCUCUUUUUGUCGGUUUCCAAACACCUGCCCAAGUGAUGGAAAUCAACUCUAUUAGCAAUACGGUGGUCAAAAAAGAAGUGAACAGUUCCCCGUCAUCUUCCCCUCGGGGCGUCUCAGAGCCCCUGGACGGGGACCAGCGCCCCCCCGACGCGGGGGGCGGCGUUGACCUGGCGACCCUCAGCCCC
rnacentral:lncRNA from 1 species